UACAGAGACUGCAAGCGUUAUUCGGAUUCACUGGGCGUAAAGGGUGCGCAGGCGGCCAGGUGUGUCAGGUGUGAAAGCCCGGAGCUUAACUCCGGAAUUGCGCCUGAAACUACUUGGCUAGAGCAUUGGAGAGGGUAGCGGAAUUCACGGUGUAGCAGUGAAAUGCGUAGAUAUCGUGAGGAACACCAGAGGCGAAGGCGGCUACCUGGACAAUUGCUGACGCUCAGGCACGAAAGCGUGGGGAGCAAAAGGAUGG
rnacentral:rRNA from 1 species